CAGCGUCAUAGGUUAACUCCUUUCGCCAACGAGGGAUUGACGGGAUCCGACCGGGAGAAAAGCACACCACAGCAAGAUCCACAAGCAGUGAGACCAGGAGACUGGGUGUUAACUGGGCGAACCAAAGGUGGGAAGGACCAUUCCAAGUACUCCUGACCACGCCAACAGCUGUGAAGAUCGCUGAAAGACCUUUCUGGAUUCACCUCAGCCACUGACCACUCGUCUCAGCGUCGGUGAAGAAAUCAACUGAUCCCUGUUCUUUAGAGUCCUGGGUAAAAUUAACAUCUCUGCUAACCUAGCAAAAUUGGGGUUCCCAUGCAGAUGGGACUUCUUUUGCGUUGUGGCUGUUGCGUGCAUUAUCUGGUUGAGUCCAGGUCCGGUAAAUGAGAGAGGAAAGAGGUUCAUCCACUCCGCUGCCAUGAAGAUUUGGCUGGGUAAUAUCCCAAACCACCAUGUUGACAACCUAUGGGAAACGUAUGCAAGAACUGUAGUCCAACAGCAUAACAAGACUGAUUGCUACGUGUGUUCUGUCAUGCCUAAAUUUACCAAGCAGCCUACCUUGUACAUAACUCCCAUGAACACCUCACAGGCUAUUUGUUUUGCAUCAUAUGCAUUCCAGUUUAUGCCUGCUCAAUUGAUGAAUGCCACGACUGGGGAGAUUAUGAUGGAACAAGUGUGCAAAGGAGUAAAGUCGUCACUGUUCUCUUACAGCAAAGUUACAGGCUAUCCCACCAAGAUGAAGGCUGUCAUGUCUAAAGGAAUGAAACAUCCAGUGUGUAUUCACUCACCUAGAGGGAAUGAUACGGUGAAGGUAGGACAUGCAGCAGGAUGCCAGAAUACCAUCACUGACCUUUACUCUGACUUUGUCUGCGGCAUCGUCCCUAAUGGAACGUACACGAGCUGUUCUACUUGGAAACCACAAGUUAACUUUCCUACAAAGGGUGGCUGGUUCCUGCGUGGAGGAGACAACAUUUACCCAUCACUGCCCCUCAGCUGGUCAGGUACAUGUGCACCUGUGUUUGUUUCUGACCACACCGUCAUCAUCUCAGCUCAAGCUGUGAAGGAAAAUCAUCCUUCUAAUAGGAGGAGAAGAGAACUCAGCUCCAGCUCAGUUUUCCAGCCCCAUGAUCCCAUGUGGGGUUCCAACGUUCCCUCUGAACAUAAACACUGGAGUACAGCGAAUAAAAUAGGACUUUCACUUUUCCGUGGUUUGGAGUUGGUAAAUCUAUGCUGAUGAUUGAAACACUGGACUACAGAACGAAGAUCCUAGUGAACAUGACGAUGGACAUUAAUAAAGGACAAAACAAACAGAUCAUGGUGGCACCUUUUACUGAAAAUAAUGACACCCAUUAUUAUUGUUCUUAUUAUUUUUUGUGUUUUUACUGCUUGUGUAUACCCCUUCCCUUUAGUCUAUGAUUGCUAAAACUAUGGGAAAUGUAGUAUUUCAAUAUCAAAUGCUUUCACAAAUCCCUCUUGAAGAAAUACAACCUAUAGUUUAACUUUUUCCUUGUUAAA